rnacentral:rRNA from 1 species
AGUCGAGAAUUUUUCUCAAUGGGGGAAACCCUGAAGGAGCGACGCCGCGUGGGGGAUGAAUGGCUUCGGCCCGUAAACCCCUGUCAUUUGCGAUCAAACCUUACGGCCUAACACGUCGUGAGCUGAUAGUAGCGAAAGAGGAAGGGACGGCUAACUCUGUGCCAGCAGCCGCGGUAAUACAGAGGUCCCAAGCGUUGUUCGGAUUCACUGGGCGUAAAGGGUGCGUAGGCGGUCGGGUAAGUCUAACGUGAAAUCUCCGAGCCCAACUCGGAAACUGCGUCGGAUACUAUUCGGCUAGAGGAAUGGAGGGGAGACUGGAAUUCUCGGUGUAGCAGCGAAAUGCGUAGAUAUCGAGAGGAACACCAGUGGCGAAGGCGAGUCUCUGGACAUUUCCUGACGCUGAGGCACGAAAGCCAGGGGAGCAAACGGGAUUAGAUACCCCGGUAGUCCUGGCCCUAAACGGUGCACGUUUGCUGUAAGAGGAAUCGACCCCUUUUGUGGCGAAGCUAACGCGUUAAACGUGCCGCCUGGGAAGUACGGCCGCAAGGUUA